CGUUGCCUUGUGCCAUUGCGAAACCAACGCGACCUACUAGUCAGAACGACCAUCCCAGG
rnacentral:rRNA from 1 species